CCGAUUAGGACUUCGUUGGUGUGGGGACCGUACAUGUCGGAGGUAUCGAGAAAGGUGACGCUGGAGUUGAUGGCGUGGUGGAUGAGUUUGAUCAUAUCGGGCUCGGGCUUCGGCGGCCCGUAGAAAGCCGACAUGCCCAUGCACCCCAGCCUUUGUUUGGACACCUCAAGGCCCUCCGACCCGAGCUUGAUUUUCGGCACAUUCACUCCCAUUUUCGCGGAAUUAAGGCUAGUGGAUUUGAGAAUUUGAGUGAUCGGUCGGACUGAACUGGAUUGGAUUGAGCAGUGGUGUAUCUGUUGACUUUGAAAUGAGGAUUGAGGACUGGAAGAAGGAUGACGUCACCGCUGCCGCAAUCAAUGUUGUCGUCGUUCGAUCCUUUUUUAGUUUUGUUUUUUUAUUUUCUUAUUUCUAUUUUCUUUUAAUAUAACCCGCCAUUGUUGCUUGUUGGAACCUUCAAAUUCUUCCAACUUCAAAUUUCGAGUGUUAAAUCAGGAAGAAUUGCUUCGCACCAAACGGUCCAAACCGUGUUGCUCGAUCACCAACAAGUAGGCGCGUUUUUCAUUCAUUUCAAAACUUUUUUAGUUUUUAUUUUUUAUUUUAAUCAAACAGUACUCCUAUACAUGGUUGAUAACUCUUCCUUUAGUCAAUAAUAUUGGUGCAUCAGACUAAAUUUAAUUAAAGCACUACUAUUUACUAUUCGAAUCGGGUGUUCUUCCACUUUCUGUAUCACAAUAUAUAUAUAUAUAUAUAUANAAAAGACAUAUAAUAGGCAAUCUAUAUUUUGGGCCUAAGAAGUAUAGAUAUUGUGUAAUUUAAGAAUUAUGUUGAGUAUUUUUGUUAUUUGUUAAGCGUCCUAAAAUGAAAUAGGACCAUUUCAAAUGGAACAACUCAAAUUGAAAAGUAAGACAUUUUAAGUGGGACGAAUGUAGUAGUAUUAUUUAUCGUCAUACAUAUUACAAUAGAAGCUCAUAGUUUUCAAUUACAUGAGACGUAUGUAUAUAUCAUCGAAGAAACCAUACAUUGUAUGCAGGACCUCUACACCACACAAAAGUGAAAAACAAAUUACACCGCACGCAGGCGAGAUCUCUAAACCACACAAAUGUGGAAAGACGUGAUUGAAUCCAAAACCUCUCGCAAAAGAAGAAUCUUGUGGUGUCUCAGCUUAAUAGAAGCUCAUAUUUGCUAACAAGCUUAUGCAAGAGAGCAUAAGAUUUUCAUGUAAGGAAGUAAGCAGAUUUUCAUGUAGUUAACAAUACUAGAGGAAUAAUUGUAGUCCAGACAUGGAAAGAGCAGGUGGUCUCACGCAUAUCAGGCCUCGGCUUUCCCCAAUUCCAACGAGGGCGUGUCUGCGUUUUUCCAUGUGCUGGCCAUGGAAGCGUACCGUUCUCCCUUGACAUUAUCAGCCAAAGUAGAGAGUUGAGUCAUCUCUUCCGGAGUUAGUUUCACAGAGAGGGCUCCGAUAUUGUCGUUGAAGUUGUCAAUCUUGGUGGUGCCCGGUAUAGGAGACACAUCAUCUCCUUGGUGAUGAACCCAAGCCAACGCCAGUUGAGAUGGGCUGCAACCUUUACUUGUAGCCAUGUCACAUAUCUUUUCGUAUAUGAUCCUGUUGCUUUCAAGAUUUUCGUCAUAGAACCUCGGACAAAAGGCCUAGCAAAUGCGACGGACUUGUUAGCAUAAAUCUUGGUAUCAUCAUUGUUAAAAAUAUAACAAAUUGAAUAAAGAUUUCCAGACUACUUGGACAAGUAGAACUUCAAGCUAAUUAAUAAUUUAGUUGCGACAGCGGAAAUAAACCAGUACUCCUUGAUAGCAAUAAUUUAAGAAACUUAACAUUCAAAUCACAUGAAGAGUCGUUCUAUAAUCUACAUAAUUCAUUAAAUACUUGUCGACAUGGUUAUUUGAUAUGCACCAAGCUUACGAAAGUCGCCCUCCGAUGCAUUCUCUAACAUCUUGGGUCCUACUGAAAGGAAGCCGCGUCCAAGCGGACUAUAUGGCACAAGUCCAAUACCAAGUUCUCUGAAAUUGAUAAGACGAGCCAAAAGCUGAUAUAUUGCUUCUCUUUCUUUUUCUUCAAAACAUCAGAUUUCAACAAAAUACUUCUCUCUUACCUGCAUGUAGGAAUCAAUUCCACGUCUCUUGACCACAAUGACCAUUCGAUUUGAACAGCAGUAAUUGGAUGAACAACAUGAGCCCUUCUAAUUGUUGAAGGAGAGGCCUCUGAAAGGCCAAUGUAUUUUAUUUUUCCUUCUUCAACCAGUUUCUUAAGUACCCCCAUCUAAAAGUUCAUGGAAAACAUUCAACAAUAUGAAAAAGGCUAGAAAAAUUGAAGCACACUGAAUUAAUAGUAGUAGUAAUAGUAUCCCUUUUUAUCUACACAGCCAAAUAUCAUUUCCCUCAGUAUUAGUUGUAAAUUGUAAUGCAUGUCAUCACAAUAUCUUGCAAUGCAGCAAGUCACAUGCCACCCUUGUCCCUUGAUAAACUUCUUAUAUCAUUACAAAAAAUUACUGGCUUCCCGGGCUAUGAACCAAAUAUUUUUCUCCAAAAUGUAAUCAGUAGAGAAAUCACUAUAGGCACAACAUACCUACCACUACACAGUAAAAGUUGCAGAAGUCUUCAUGUCUAUAAAAAUUAUCUAGCUACAAUUCCCACAACAAAACAUAGCUUGUAGUUUAUGUAAAGUAGUCAGGUACAAACUAAAGCACAUACAGAGUUGACAACGCAUGCGUGUAAACACCUCUAUAAAAAAGAACGGAUAUUAAUGAAUAAAUUUGACUUGUCUUCGUCUUUGAUGUGAACCACAUCUUCAUCCAAUGAAGACGACAUCACAUUAGCCCACAAUGAAAAUAAAGAAAGAAAAAAAUGAAAGAAAGAGUCGACCAACAUUCCUUGUAAGUUUAAAGCCAAUGCACCAAAUUAAAUAUUCAAAAGGGCUACAGAUCACUAGGAUUCAAUCAUCGCCACACUCAAUACAAUUACAAAAGGUCAUAUCUUCGAGAUGGAACUUACUGUGAUUUCAAUGGGCACACGAGUGUCAAUCCGAUGAACAUAAUAGAGAUCAAUGCAAUCAACAUCAAGACGCUUCAAGCUUGAUUCACAUGCCGACCUGACAUAUGCAGGGUCACCACGAAUCUCCCUCUUGCCAUCCUGAUUAACUACCCCAAACUUGGAAGCAAGUUGCACUUUUUCCCUCAUUCCCCCUUUCAAAGCCUGCAUCAACUCAAAAACAUUAAUGCAUGACAGAUUCAACACCUCACUCACACACACACACAUAGAAUUGUAUGGUCUCUUAACAAAAUAUACAAAGAAUUAUAUGGGUGGGUUCAAGGACCUCCAGAAGCUAAUUUCAGUUUAGUAAAAAUCGACCGAUUAACUCUUGGAAAACGUUUGUUCGGAAAACUAAGAAAUUUGAUUUCAUUAUGAGCUUGACUUGAGUGAAAUAGAUAGAACAAAAUUGAGCAGCUAAAACGUAUAAAAACAAAAGUUGAUUUAUUUCCUUCAAAAAGAGUUGGAUGUACUUUUAUUUCUGAAAAUUGAAACAUAAACCAUCGAGAUCGCGCGCUAUGAUUUUCGCAUAUACUACAACAAAAAUUGCGAUCAAGUUAAACAGAUUAAGCCACCAAGAUGCAACAUAAAAAAGAUGAAAAAUAGAACAGCAAAUCAAUCAAGAAAAGAAUGGCGGAAGCGGUACCUUUCGAUUAGGACUUCGUUGGUGUGGGGACCGUACUGUACAUGUCGGAGGUAUCGAGAAAGGUGACGCUGGAGUUGAUGGCGUGGUGGAUGAGUUUGAUCAUAUCGGGCUCGGGCUUCGGCGGCCCGUAGAAAGCCGCAUGCCCAUGCACCCCAGCCUUGUUUGGACACCUCAAGGCCCUCCGACCCGAGCUUGAUUUUCGGCACAUUCACUCCCAUUUUCCGGAAUUAAGGCUAGUGGAUUUGAGAAUUUGAGUGAUCGGUCGGACUGAACUGGUUGGAUUGAGCAGUGGUUAUCUGUUGACUUUGAAAUGAGGAUUGAGGAUGGAAGAAGGAUGACGUCACGUGCCGCAAUCAAUGUUGUCGCUUCGAUCCUUUUUUAGUUUGUUUUUUUUUUUCUUAUUUCUUUUUCUUUUAAUACAGCCCGCCAUUGCUGCUUGUUGGAACCUUCAAAUUCUUCCAACUUCAAAUUUCGAGUGUUAAAUCAGGAAGAAUUGCUUCGCACCAAACGGUCCAAACCGUGUUGCUGGAUCACCAACAAGUCACAUUGGUCGUUAGGCGCGUUUUUCAUUCAUUUCAAAACUUUUUUAGUUUUUAUUUUUUAUUUUAAUCAAAUAGUACUCAUAUAUAUGGUUGAUAACUAGUGCGCCUUUGAACACUGGCCGCUAUCUGGGUCUCCCUUCUCUUAUUGGGCGGAAGAAACGUGAAAUCUUUCAGUACCUUCGUGACCGUAUGUGGGAUCGCAUCCAAGGAUGGAAUGGAAAAAAGCUCUCGAAAGCCGGUAAGGAGAUUUUGAUCAAGGGUGUUGCAUAGGCCAUUCCUUCGUUCUGUAUGGCGAUUUUUGCUCUCCCUACUAGUCUCACCGAUGAUAUGGAGAGAUUGAUGAACAAAUUCUGGUUGAAUAAUAAAAGUGGGGAUGAGAGGGGCAUCAACUGGAUGCGUUGGGAGAAACUUUGUGUGGAUAAACAGCUUGGCGGGUUGGGCUUUCGUAGCCUUCAACUCCUUAAUAUUGCAAUGCUCGGCAAAACUUGCUGGAGGUUAAUUGAUGAUCCGAAUGCUUUGGUGUGUAAGGUCCUUAAAGCUAAGUACUUUCGAUCAUGCAGUUUCUUGGAUGCUAAAGUUGGGAGUAGUCCUAGUUUUGCUUGGCGGAGUCUGUGUUCGGCGCAAGAUUUGGUUCAAAGGGGUCUGGUGGCGCAUCGGAGAUGGCCAUAGCGUCCGUGUCUUUGAGGAUCCUUGGCUUCGAAAAGCCCAUAAUUUCCGAAUCUCCUCUAGCUGCCCGUCUGCCCUUGCUGGGAUUCGUGUUCAUGAUCUGCUCAUUCCCGGGACCAGAGUUUGGAAUAUGGAGCUGUUACACGACCUUGUGAACUUGGAUGACUUUCGGGAUAUCAUUAGUAUACCUCUGCUCCCAUGCACGAUCACAGCCGGAUAAGUUGAUAUGGAAUUAUUCGGAUAAUGGUUGUUAUUCUGUGAAGACGGCUUACAAGUUGGCUAGCUCCCUCGUCCUUGAUGACACUUCUAAGGUCGAGGGCCAUUGGCGUAAACUGUGGAAAAAGGAGAGUUAACGUCCCUCCUAAAGUCCGUCAUUUCCUUUGGCGGGCGGCUCGUAACAAUUUGCCCUCGAAAGAAAAUCUCUUGCAGCGUGGCUUAACUAGUGGGGGCGAGUGUGCUACUUGUCGUGGUGGUCUUGAAAAUUUAUGGCACACUUUUUUCUCUUGCCCUUUUGCUGAGGCUUGCUGGAAUGCGAGCCAUCUUUCCACGCUUAUUGGCUCCGCCAUGUCUAGAAGUGAUUCAUUUGGCUGGAAUGCAGGCUUUUUUCAUCAUCUUCGAUGAGGAGCAAAGCGAUCAUGUUGCUCUCUUUGCCAUGGUCCUUUGGUAGAUUUGGAAGGACCGCAACACCGUCGUCUGGAAGGAGAUCUUUCCUAAUCCCGAUAGGUCUGUGGCUACUGCUGUUGGCUGCCGUCAAGAAUGGCUUUUGGCGAGAGCUCGGGGCACCAGACAGCACUCUGCUCCUUCUUCGUCCGCUGUUUGCUUGGGUUGGCACGAUUUGUCAGAGGGAGAUGUUCUUUGUGGAGUGGAUGCUGCCUUCUUCGAGGGUGAUAAUGCGAUGGGGCUUGGUCUGGUCUUCCGAGACCACAGCGGCAAUUUUCUCACCGGCACCUCUCUAAAAAUUCCGGGCAUGAGGAGUACUGAGGAAGGUGAAGUUUUGGGCAUCAAGGAGGUGUUUUCCUGGAUCAAGCGCCUUGGCUAUGUUAGUGGGAUCGUGGAAUUGGAUAGUAAGCGUGCUUGCAAUGAGAUUACUUCUGGUAGAAUGAACAUUUCUGAGUUUGGUCUUCUUGCUAAAUUCUGCCGGGAGGAACUUUCUAUGCUUCCGGGUUUCUGUUUAAGACAUGUUCGUUGUGAUCAAAAUGUUAUCGCCCACGGCUUGGCGAAAGCUGCGAGAGAUUUGUAGUCACAUCAUGUUUGGAAUGAACCUCUAGCCUUUGUGGUGGGUUAUUUCUAUACCCCAUGUUCUUGUGAUUAAUAAGAUGUCUCUCGUUCUCUUAAAAAAUAUAUAUAUAUGGUUGAUAACUCUUCCUUUAGUCAAUAACAUUGGUGCAUCAGACUAAAUUUAAUUAAAGCACUACAAUUUACGAUUCGAAUCGGGUGUUCUUCCACUUUCUGUAUCACACAUGCUGGAAAGCUUCAUAUUCAGUAAUGGAAAGGUCAUAAAAUACAAGUAGUUGUGGAAGCAAAUACACACAUGCUGCUGUAAAAAACAACACACACACACACAAAUAGUAAGCAGAAAAUCAAGUGAUGGAGUGGAUAGUGUGGUAGUUGAGAGUUGUUCCCGAAUUCUCAUCUCAUGCAUUCCAAGAUGACAAUGGAGGCGUAUUUGCAUUGAUCCAUGUAUGUGUCAUGAACGUGUACCUCUCUCCCUUGACUGUGUCCGCCAACGCAGAGAGCUUAUCCAUCUCCUCUGAAGUCAAUUUCACGGCGAGAGAUCCGAGAUUGUCGUUCAAGUUUUUGAUCUUGGUGGUCCCCGGUAUCGGGCACACAUCAUCUCCUUGCUGCAUAAGCCAAGCCAAUGCCAGUUGAGCUGUGCUGCAACCUCUCCUUGUACCCAUCUCACUCAUCUCUUCAUAUACAGACUUGUUGGCUCUAAGAUUUUCAUCCUUAAACCUUGGGAAAUAGGUCUGCCAAAAUGUGGUGGAAUUUAAUUCGUUAUACCAUUUCAACAGACAUAGAAAGAUAUGUGCACCAACCUUACGAACAUCGCCCUCUGCUGCGUUCUCUAACGCCUUGGGACCAGCUGAAAGUAGGCCGCGUCCAAGGGGACUAUACGCGACUAUUCCAAUGCCAAGUUCUCUGAAAUUCAUGAGGCCGAUAUUAGUGUUCUGUGAUCAAAUUAAUGUGUUGUAGUUUUAAGUGUUACCUGCAGUGGGAAUGAUUUCUUGUUCGACAUCUCUUGACCACAAUGACCAUUCGAUCUGAACAGCACUAAUUGGAAGAACAGCAUGAGCCCUUCUGAUUGUUGAAGCAGAGGCUUCUGAGAGCCCAACAUAUUUGAUUUUUCCUUCCUCAACCAGCUUCUUUAGUUCCCCCAUCUUGGGAAGCAUAUAGGCAAGGACAAGAGCAUCAGACAUAAAAAAUAAAAGUCAAAUACAGCUACCUAUAUAUUUAUCCUAUAUUGAACACCAGUAUCAUUCUGCUGAAUUUAUUUGCAUGCACUUUCUUGACUUUAUCAUAAUAUAUAUAUGCACCACAAAAAAGACUUUAAAACUUCUUAGCUGCAAACUGCCUGCGUAAACACCAAUCUAUAUAACUAGGAAGGUGUGGAUGCAUAAAUUUGAAAUAUCAUUUGUCUUGUCUCACAUUAUUUCAAGCAAACCAUAUUAUUAAACACUCAUCAUUUUACAUUGUUUUCACAUGUUAUAUAAUUAUGCACGCGCGUGUGUUGAAAUUGAGCACCUAUGUGAUGUUUUUUGGUUUGAUUUUUGUAUAAUUUGUUGAUGUCACAUUUCGGUAUAGUUUCAUAUUUCUUUAAUUUUAUGUCGUGUCUUUAUUUAAUUAUAUCCGACUAGUUUAAAUUCUAAUUCUAGAAUUUUUAUGUCUUGAUUAAAUUUAUGUUUUUGAUUUAUUGAUAAAACAUAGCCCUCCAUUCUAUGAUUUAUUCAUGGUGCUUAUUUCUUGUGAAAUUAAAUACUUGAUCGAUAUUUUGCAUGUCUAGUUGUUCAGAAGCCUCACGGUACUAAUUGUUCAACUGAUUCAGAAAUACGUAGUAAGUACGACCUUGAGUUCUAGCAGAGAUAGAUGGAUCAUAAGAACCUAUUCUUAGUGUGUCAUUCGGUGUUAGUAGAUUUUCUCAAUUCUUAACAUAACUUAUUAAUCUACGGUCACAAAUUGAUCGAGAGAGAGGGCGUGAUUAUUAUCGUGAUCAUUCAUAUAUUUAGACUGUAUUAAACUGAUAAUUGGAUGAAUAAAUUAAUUGCAUAGUUUAUUCGACUCAUUAGGAUCAAUUUUUAUCUCUUGAAUUUUAUCUAAACUAGCAGAAAGAACGUACGUUGUAUGUGUAAUUAAUGUUAUUUUAUUUGAUAAUCUAUUAUUUUAGAAAAUCUAGUAAUUCGUUACUUUUAUUAGAUAAUUUAUUGAAUGUAUAUAUUUAUCUAUAAGCCUUAUCAAUAGCUAUAGAUACAUAUCACAUAGAUUAAGUGUAAUAUCUAAUGAAUUAAUAUAUUCUUAUAAAGAUAUAAUAUGUACAAUAACCUUUAAAAAAAUAUGUAAUAGGGGUAAAAUAGGCAAUCCACAAGUUGUGCGUUAGGAUGCCUCAUGCUCUUUUUCUAUUAGUAUUAGUAUAGAUUUGUUAGGUAUUUUAUUUGAAUUGGUUUCUUUUGCAUGGUAUUUAAUUGAUUGUCUUGUGAAAAAUGAAGACAAUUUGGAAAACAUUAAUGCAAGUGUGGAAUUAAGAGUACUUACUGUGACUUCAAUGGGCACACGAGUGUCGAUGCGAUGAACAUAGUAGAGAUCGAUGCAGUGAAUAUCAAGACGCUUCAAACUUGCCUCACAAGCAGCCCUCACAUACUCUGCCUCACCAUUUACAAUCAUCUCUCCUUCCCUACUUACUAUCCCGAACUUGGUAGCAAUUUGCACCUUCUCCCGCACUCCCCCUUUCAAAGCCUGCACAACACAGUAAUUAAGCAGCGUAUAGCCUAACACAUGCAAAAACUGGGGGGAAUUAACCUUUCCGAUGAGGAUCUCGUUGUCCCCGUAGAAGUCGGAGGUGUCGAGAAAGGUGACGCCGGAGUCGAUGGAGUGGUGGAUGAGUUGGAUCAUGUCGGCCUCGGGCUUCGGCGGCCCGUAGUAAGCCGACAUGCUCAUGCAACCCAGGCCUAGCUUGGACACCUCCAGGCCCUGCGACCCUAGCUUCACUCUCGGCACAUUAUUCACACCCAUUUUCGCUUAAUUUAAUUUGGAUUUGAGUGAUGAGAUUCAGGAAUUGUGUGAGUGAUGGUGUGAAUUUUAAAGUGAAGGUGCAUGCAUGAUAGCUCGCGUGCGUCACUGCUGCCGUAAUGGCGGCUCAUAUAUAUCUAUACAGCUUUGUUGAUGAAUAUAUUUCAAGAGAUACACCCAUUACGGAAGCCGUGACGCCAUUGAUGCAUGGAGCUCUGUUGAUGAUUAUCUCAAAUCACAAAUCACUUUUUCUUUCCGUGACGAGCUAAUAGUACUUAUGUGCAUGCAGCCACUAAAUCCAAAUAUAGGAAAUUAAGUAGCAUGUUCGAAAUUUUGAUAAAAAACAGUUUUAAUUCAAUUCGAUUUGUUGAGGAAAUUUUUUACAUAAAAAUUCACAUAAUUAAAUAGAUAUAAUUAUCAUGAAUGACAACAAAAAUAGUUGGGUCUCCAGUUCUUCCUGGCUGUAUGUGGCUCCGCAACCCUAACACUUUGGCCGAAUAUUCUAAAUUUAGUGUAGUAUUUUGUUACAGUUCACUUUGUCAAAUAUAUGCAUGAUUGUUUUUGCUUUAUCUUAAAUUUGUAUUUUUAUCCCAUUUUGAAACAAAAUCAUUAGAGAAUGUAUUAAAUUAUGAGGCAUGAUUGCGCGCAUUUAUAUAUGGUCUUACACAUCAUUUAGUCCAAAGCCACGACAAGUUUGAAGAUGAAAACAUUGACUUGUCAAGUACAAUUUUAUAAAAUAGAAAUGUUGCAUUUGAUCGAUUUUAGCGUACAAAUGCCAAAUAAGAAAGAUGCAGAUUUCCAUCAUGCACUUACUCAAAAGACAAAAGAACUAAUGCCUCAUGAUCUGGUCGACUGCAUAAUCUGAACAUUAUAACAGAAUUUUCAAGAAGAGUCCACUACACAAGUCAUUGUUGUUACCUUGCUUCUUCCACUUGUCAGUAAAAGCAAACCUCCGUCAAUAAAACCCGAGACAAGGACUCCAGUAGCAAUUGAUAAUAGUAUUAAAUUAGUAGGCGCUUUCUUUGUGGGGAAUAUAAUAUAUUAAGAAACAUUAAUGUAGUUAAAUGGCCAUAAUGAAGAUUGAAAAUCAAUUUUUGGCCCCUAAUAUUAAAACAUCAAAAUAUGGCCAUUAAUUAGGUGGUAUGCCUAAUUUGCCCUUUUUACUCGGCCGCUGAGGUGAUUGCGCGACCGCUGGAUGAUUGCCGCUCUGGAAGCUUAUGAGUGAGUUGCGCGCUGCGGGGAAAAGCCAGCGCCCGCUGCGCUAUGGCAUUAUGGCACUAAUAGUGCCAUAAGUGCAUAGCAUCAUUUUAUUAUUGGUUUUAUUUUGGAUUUCCGUUGGCACCUAUGGCACUAUAGUGCCAUAAGUGCCAAAGAACCAUUUUAAACACUUCCCGUAGGUUUAGAUGUUCCAUUUAGGGUUUAAUUCUUUAGGGUUUAGAUAUCCAUUUAUGAUUUCUUGAUUCUAUUACUUUGUUUCUGUUGCGCGUAUGACACUUAUGGCACUAUUAGUGCCAUAAGUCCAAAAUAAUCAUUUUACUUGGUUUUAUUUUGGAUUUCCGUUGGCACUUAUGGCACUAUUAGUGUCAUAAGUGCUAACGGAAAUUCAAAAUAAAACCAAAGUAAAAUCUUGGCACUUAUGGCACUAAUAGUGCCAUAAGUGUCUAACCCGACCCGGCAUGCGACCCGCGCGCCUGAUCCUACCCGGUCAGCCUCAUUAAGGGUAAAAACGUCCAAAUGAAUAAAAAUGGCCAUAAAUUAUUUCUUCUAAUUUUUUUACUUACAAAGUCAUUUAUAAUAUCAUUUGUUUCAAGAUUUUCUAGAACAUUUUUGUCAAUAUAAAAAAUUGUCAAACCAUUAGCAUUUGAAUUUUUAAAUUUUCAUUAGAACUUGUAUUUUUAACAAAAAUAUUAUCGAUCUACAUCCUUUUUUGUGAUUUACUGAAUUCUUUUAACAUUUCACAAAGAUAUUUUUUAUGCAUCACGUGUAAAUGUAUUGCACACACCACAAGAAAAAAUUAUUAGAAAUUGAAAUGUGGAAAAAUAGCAUCUGGGUUCUCCAGACUAAAAGUUCUUGCCUUUGUUUCGAAAGCCCUUCAUCUCCCAACUCUCCAAACGGCCAAACCCCGACGCCACACUUCUUGGCGCCGUCUCCGGCCUCUCUACUCUACGUGGAUCGGAGCAAGGUUUCAAGCGCAAGCAAUACAUUAAUUAUUGAGUGGAUUGAGGAAUUAGUUUGUAGGGGAACUCUUCUUCUUCGUAGAUGUAAAUUAAUUAUUUCAACUUUCAAAAGUGUUGAAUUUUACAUGAUAACAUCAGCCUACACAAAUACAUACUUUAUGGUCUACACCACGAGCAAGGUAAUACAUAACCAUCUAACAGAGGAAGUUCACAUUGAUACAACAAGCUUAUGCACGAAAGCAUAAGAUUAUUAAACACUAUCUUGGAAGCAAAUAUUGUUUAAACACUUAACUAACAAAGGAAGCAAAUAUUAUAGGCCAAUGGUAUUCCUCCCCUCCAUGAAGGUAAGAGAUCAGGCUACGAAUCUGAAUCCCAUUAUUCCUCAGUGUUAUAGCAUGGCCAUGGAAGGAGCACAGAUGCUCUCAUGCAACUCAGGCCUCGGCUUUCCAGGAUUCCAAUGGGGGCGUGUUUGCGUCUUUCCAUGUGCUCACCAUGGAAAUGUACCUUUCUCCCUUCACAUUCUCAGCCAAAGCAGAGAGUUGAGUCAUCUCUUCUGGAGUAAGUUUUACAGAAAGGGCACCGAUAUUGUCGUUGAAGUUGUCGAUCUUGGUGGUGCCCGGUAUAGGACACACAUCAUCUCCUUGGUGAUGAACCCAAGCCAACGCCAACUGAGAUGGGCUGCAUCCUUUACUUGUAGCCAUUUCACAUAUCUUUUCGUAUAUGAGCUUGUUGCUUUCAAGAUUUUCAUCAUGGAAUCUCGGAAAAUAGAUCUAGCAAAUGCAAUACACAUUUUAGCAUGUAAAUAAGGAAAAUCUUGACAUUAUUCUUGUUUUUUAGAGAGAUAUAAGAUACAUAUCAUAUCAUGAUCAACAAUAUUGGAUAAGAACUAACCUUGCGAAGGUCACCCUCUGAUGCAUUCUCUAACAUCUUGGGUCCUACUGAAAGGAAGCCACGUCCAAGUGGACUAUAUGGGACAAUUCCAAUACCGAGUUCUCUGAAAGUUCACAAAGGCUGAUAUAAGGUUUCUAUUUUUCUUAAAUUCAUCAGAAUUCAACAAUAUAUAGCUCUGUUACCUGCAUGUAGGAAUCAAUUCUUCUUCCACAUCUCUGGACCACAAUGACCAUUCGAUUUGAACAGCAGUAAUUGGAUGAACAGCAUGAGCCCUUCUAAUUGUAGAAGCAGAGGCCUCUGAGAGGCCAAUGUAUUUUAUUUUUCCUUCUUCAACCAAUUUUUUGAGUUCCCCCAUCUACAAAAUCAUAAACACCAUUCUGCAUUAGGAACAAGGCCAGAAAAAUUGAAUCAAUGCUACUUGUAGUUUCUUUCCUAUCGGCAUAGAUAGGCAUAUGAAGAUACAUAUAUUCUUUGGGGCUUUUCUAGUUGUGAUGCCAUUACGCAACAUUUUACAAUGACAGAUAGAGGAAGGCAUUGAAAGGGAACAUCUGAUUGGUGUGCAGGAAAUUCAGGUCAUAAUACAGCAGAAAUAUUUCAGGUCAUAUUUGCUGUAAUAUAUAUACAUAUUUUUUUGGCACAGCAUACCUUUGAAUACAAAGUAAAAGAGGCAGAAGUAUUGAUGUUUUCGAGUAUAUAUGCUGCUGAAUAAGAAUGUAUCUUGAAGAAAGUACUCACAGUGAUUUCUAUGGGCACACUAGUGUCAAUGCGGUGAACAUAAUAGAGAUCAAUGCAGUCAACAUCAAGACGCUUCAAGCUCGACUCGCAUGAUGACCUCACAUAUGCCGGGUCACCAUGUACCUCACCCUUCCCAUCACGGUUUAUUAUUCCAAACUUGGUAGCAAGUUGCACUUUUUCCCUCAUUCCCCCUUUCAAAGCCUGCAACAACUCCAAAACGUUAAUGCAGGAAGAUAAUGACUCAUUCAACACCAAACUCCACACAUGAUCCAUGAAAGUUGUUCCAGCUUAUACUCGAAUAAUCUGUAAACAAGACAUGAAAAGGAGAAUGGAUGACCUCACCAGAACCUAAGUCCACAGAUCAACUCUUUAUAUGUAUAAUAGUGUGUCGCAAUUGUUCCACUUAUAUGUUAUCCAAUCAAAAUUUGAAACUUCUAGAAAUUCAAGUAGCAAAAUGUGUAUUGGAAACAUAACAGCACAAUUAUGAGUUUGGCUUUAACAAAUUAGUAACACAUAAUGAUCAAACUAACAGAACAUAAACAUUUACCCUCUUUGAUAACAAAGUAGAAUAAAAUUGAACAGCUUAAACAUAAAAGAACAAGAGAGUAAGAGCAACACACAACAAUACCCCUAAGAUUUGAAUCAAAGUAAACAGAUCCAUCCAUAAACAAUAUAGAAAAAUAAAAAGUAAUAACAGCAAAAUGAAACGAAUGAAAGAGUAGUAGAAGCACGCACUUUUCCGAUUAGGAUCUCGUUGGUGUGGGGACCGUACAUGUCGGAGGUGUCGAGAAAGGUAACGCCAGAGUUGAUGGCGUGGUGGAUAAGUUUGAUCAUAUCGGCGUCGGGCUUAGGCAGGCCGUAGAAGGCCGACAUGCCCAUGCAACCGAGGCCUUGUUUGGACACCUCAAGGCCCUGCGACCCCAGCUUGAUUGUCGGCACAUUCACUCCCAUUUUGGCGGAAUUGGGAAUUUGAGUGAUGAAUCGACUGGACUGGAUUGAGGAAUUCAUAGUUGGCCUUGAGUUUGUGACUUGGGAGUUGAUGGAUGUCGAGUGCCGUGAGUUUUUAUAAAGGGGAAAGGAAGACGAUAACGUAACUGCUGCCGUUAUGCUAUCGCCAGCGAUGACGCCAUUGUCAAACCUUUCUUCGAUGAGCUUGAAAAUCACACUACGCCNAGCUUAAACAUAAAAGAACAAGAGAGUAAGAGCAACACACAACAAUACCCCUAAGAUUUGAAUCAAAGUAAACAGAUCCAUCCAUAAACAAUAUAGAAAAAUAAAAAGUAAUAACAGCAAAAUGAAACGAAUGAAAGAGUAGUAGAAGCACGCACUUUUCCGAUUAGGAUCUCGUUGGUGUGGGGACCGUACAUGUCGGAGGUGUCGAGAAAGGUAACGCCAGAGUUGAUGGCGUGGUGGAUAAGUUUGAUCAUAUCGGCGUCGGGCUUAGGCAGGCCGUAGAAGGCCGACAUGCCCAUGCAACCGAGGCCUUGUUUGGACACCUCAAGGCCCUGCGACCCCAGCUUGAUUGUCGGCACAUUCACUCCCAUUUUGGCGGAAUUGGGAAUUUGAGUGAUG
rnacentral:lncRNA from 1 species